rnacentral:rRNA from 1 species
GCCUAACACAUGCAAGUCGAGCGGUAACAUUUCAAAAGCUUGCUUUUGAAGAUGACGAGCGGCGGACGGGUGAGUAAUGCCUGGGAAUUUGCCCAUUUGUGGGGGAUAACAGUUGGAAACGACUGCUAAUACCGCAUACGCCCUACGGGGGAAAGCAGGGGACCUUCGGGCCUUGCGCUGAUGGAUAAGCCCAGGUGGGAUUAGCUAGUAGGUGAGGUAAAGGCUCACCUAGGCGACGAUCCCUAGCUGGUCUGAGAGGAUGAUCAGCCACACUGGGACUGAGACACGGCCCAGACUCCUACGGGAGGCAGCAGUGGGGAAUAUUGCACAAUGGGGGAAACCCUGAUGCAGCCAUGCCGCGUGUGUGAAGAAGGCCUUCGGGUUGUAAAGCACUUUCAGCGAGGAGGAAAGGGUGUAAGUUAAUACCUUACAUCUGUGACGUUACUCGCAGAAGAAGCACCGGCUAACUCCGUGCCAGCAGCCGCGGUAAUACGGAGGGUGCGAGCGUUAAUCGGAAUUACUGGGCGUAAAGCGUGCGCAGGCGGUUUGUUAAGCGAGAUGUGAAAGCCCCCGGCUCAACCUGGGAACCGCAUUUCGAACUGGCAAACUAGAUCUUGUAGAGGGGGGUAGAA